GUGCUCGCUUUGGCAGCACAUAUACUAAAAUUGGAACGACACAGAGAUUAGCAUGGCCCCUGCACAGGGAUGACACACAAAUUUGUGAAGCAUUCCAUAUUUAA